AACGUAGGAGACAAACGUUAUCCGGAGUUACUGGGCGUAAAGGGCGUGUAGGUGGUAGAGUAAGUCUGGCGUGAAAUUUUUCGGCUUAACCGGGAAAGGUCGUCGGAUACUGCUUAACUAGAGGACGGUAGAGGCGUGUGGAAUUCCGGGUGUAGUGGUGAAAUGCGUAGAGAUCCGGAGGAACACCAGUGGCGAAGGCGACACGCUGGGCCGUACCUGACACUGAUGCGCGAAAGCAUGGGGAGCAAACAGG
rnacentral:rRNA from 1 species